rnacentral:misc_RNA from 1 species
GAGUGUUGAUGCUGGGUUCAAGGUUCUACUGCUUAUCAUAUACAUACUCUAUAUUGCAGGUUAAGGAUCCUAUUCAGCAUUUAUAAUCUGUCUUGUAUUUUCUAAAGAUAAGUUCUGUUCAUGAUUCUUGCAUAUACAAGAUGGCAAAACCCUGCUACUUCAUAAGGAGUAUAAUGAUAGAUCUUGAUCCUUAAAGUUCAUUGCAUUUUUCUCCAUCCACAUAAACCAGAAAUUCGAGAAUAAUAUUGUGCCAAAGGGUCCCCUUCGAAAUCCUAUGAAACAAAUCGUAAAUUCUCUGAAGUCUACAGGAAAAUCCUUAUUCCCUAAAUGUUUUGAACUCCUUUUUCGAAAGAUGACAAUUAACAAAGCAUAGCAAAGAAAAGAUGGGCGUGAACUCUAGACCACUAAAGCAUAACAAAGGAAAAUCCUUAUUCCCUAAGUGAUAUAGCUUUCUGUGGUCUCUGCAUCGUCAACGAAUUUUUUGGUGUCAAUCCCAUUAAAAAUUGUAUGGAAAAAAGGUGUUAACUUAGGAGCAUGUGUGAGUUAUGAUGGAUAGCUAUUGCUAGGGAUCAUAUAAUUGCAUCGAUAAGCUUAAUUUGAAAGGAAAAAAUGACUAUAGCAAUAAUCAUGGCCAUUCUUUUUCUUUUUCACAUUUUUAAGUAUACAACUUAACUCAACUCAACUA